UAUCUUUCAAUGGUUGUAUUGCUGUACAGAUGAAGGCACUACAGAUAUACAUUUUAAUUUAACACAGGAAAAUGAAAAGAACAAAUUUGUUUAGAGGCAGUAAAAGUGGUCACAUAAGUCCUCUAUUUCUGUUUUUUAACAGUAAAGACUACGUUUAUCUAGUUUCUUUUUUACUGACUGAUUCCCCAAAUGUUCUUCCCCUGAUCCCCCAAGAAAUCCAACUCCAUUUUCUUUUCAAGGCACUCCAGUUGGAUGUGAUAUGUGUGCUUUGGAUGGAGAUGGAAUUUGGGUGGGGGAAGAUGAUGAAAGGUCAGAAGAAGUUUAAAGGGAAAACAGCCUCUCUAAACACUUCAGUAUUCAUGGAGUUUGGCAACGCUGAACUAACCACUGAGACCUAAGCCUUGUAUCUCAUUUCUGUGGGCAAAAACAAAGAAUUAUUUUUGGCACUCUGUGGAUUUUAGGGGUGUUCCAAUCUUUCUUUAGAAACUACUUCAAAGACAUUAAUUAAAACCCCUUUUUUCCCCUCAUUGUUUUCACACUGGACUUCGAGUUCAUAGAUCUGAACUAGCAUAAAGUUAACCUCUGUGACAAAUAUUGAUGGCUUUCUGUGCAGAGAUGGGUGAUUUUCAUGAUGCUUUCUCACUCAGAUGUCAGUUCGAUUCCUCGCUUUCUUGUAAAUGACAGCCAGCAAAUAACAACUCCAUUGUGUGAUUAGGUUUCACUCCCACAUACUAACUGGACACUCCACUAAAUAGUACAGUUCGAGAGCUGGAAAUUACCUACACAUCUCCUGGAAAGCAGCUAUGCAGUUCAAACCUGUGGGGAAAACAUACUGGCACACUUGUUGGCUAUGUUCUCCUGAAAAGCAAAAUAUGUUGUAUAGAGGACAGUAUUUAGAAAUAUAAUGUUUUAAUGACUGAUUAUGAUCCCAAAGUUUUAAUGUUUCUCUGCCAUAUUGAUUAUAAGGUUGCUCCAAGAAACCAUUGGAUAACAUGGCUGGACAGAAGUUGAACAAGAUUUUAUUAUUGAGUGGAUGCAUGUGUUUUGUUAGAGAAGCACAGACUGCCUCUCUCUUGCUUUUCCACUUCAGUCUCUUUCUGGCAUUUCCAGUGCUCUGCUCUCCACUAAGUAGAUUGAGAGUCACUGCUCUGGGUUUCCUCAGAUGCAAUCGCUCCAGGAGUCACUGCAUCAGGGACUUCCCUUUACACUUCUGCCAUCCAGUCUCCGUUCCUAUGAACUUCCCCCACUUUCUUUACAGGACUUUCACAAAGACCUGCUGAAUUUUGCUGGGAAGAACACAGAGAGUGCACUAGCCAGGGCUGAUGAAUAUAGAUUUAGUUCUUGUCCUCUCAAUAUUUAGUGGUUAUCAUUGAUUGCAACUGUAAGUUGCUCUCUGUAGUAAAAAAAAACAAA